rnacentral:rRNA from 1 species
AUGAACGCUGGCGGCAUGCCUAAUACAUGCAAGUCGAGCGGCAGGCCGCGGGGCAACUGGCGGCGAGCGGCGAACGGGCUGAGGAAGCAUCGGAACGUACCCGAGACGUGAGGGGAUAAGCACGCAGAAAGGGUGUCUAAUACCGCAUAUUGUCCGAGGAGGAAGUGGGACCGAAAGGCUCACGGCGUUCACGGAGCGGCCUGCUGUCCGAUUAGCUAGUUGGUAGGGUAAAUGGCUUACCAAGGCGACGAUCGUAGCUGGUCUGAGAGGAUGAUCAGCCACACUGGGACUGAGACACGGCCCAGACUCCUACGGGAGGCAGCAGUAGGGAAUUUUCGGACAAUGGGGCGAAACCCUGAUGCAGCACUGCCGCGUGCAGGGAAUGAAGGCCUUCGGGUUGUAAACUGCUUUUAGCGGGAAGAAAGGCGCACCUAACGGGGUCUGACGGUACAGGAGGAAUAAGCAUCGGCUAACUCCGUGCCAGCAGCCGCGGUCAUACGUAGGGAUCCAAGCGUUAUCCGGAAUUACUGGGCGUAAAGAGUUGCGUAGGUGGCAGAGUGUGUCUGUAGUGAAAGCGUUCGGCUCAACCGAAUAAACAUUAUGGAAACUGCUCGGCUAGAGGACGAGAGAGGUUAUUGGAAUUCCCAGUGUAGGAGUGAAAUCCGUAGAUAUUGGGAGGAACACCGAUGGCGUAGGCAGAUAACUGGCUCGUUCCUGACACUAAGGCACGAAAGCGUGGGGAGCAAACGGGAUUAGAUACCCCGGUAGUCCACGCCGUAAACGAUGGAUGCUAGCUGUAAGAGGUAUCGACCCCUCUUGUAGCGAAGCUAACGCGUUAAGCAUCCCGCCUGUGGAGUACGGUCGCAAGACUAAAACAUAAAGGAAUUGACGGGGACCCGCACAAGCGGUGGAGCGUGUUGUUUAAUUCGAUGAUAAACGAAGAACCUUACCCAGGUUUGACAUCCUUGGAAUUUUGCCGAAAGGCGAGAGUGCUUUAUUGCGCCAAGUGACAGGUGUUGCAUGGCCGUCGUCAGCUCGUGUCGUGAGAUGUUUGGUUAAGUCCAUCAACGAGCGCAACCCUUACAGUCUGUUGUAUUUCUCAGGCUGGACUGCCCUGGUAACAGGGAGGAAGGGGGGGAUGAUGUCAGGUCAGUAUUACCCUUACAUCUGGGGCUACAAACACGCUACAAUGGCCGGUACAAAGGGCUGCCAAGUCGCGAGACGGAGCAAAUCCCAUCAAAGCCGGUCCCAGUUCGGAUUGGAGGCUGAAACUCGCCUCCAUGAAGUCGGAAUCGCUAGUAACGGUAGGUCAGCUAUACUACCGUGAAUACGUUCCCGGGUCUUGUACACACCGCCCGUCAAACCAUGAAAGUCGGGGGUACCUGACGUGUGGCCUUCGCGCCGCCCUAAGGUAAACCAGAUGAUUGGGGUU